CGGCGGCGGUGGCGGCUUCAACAGCAGCUCUUGCCCUUAAGGAACAAUGAAACACAAAGAUGGUGCAGACCCAGGCCCUGCUUUGACUGGGAGAAAGAUGCAUUCAGUUGACUAAAACUUGAAGCUUGGUGGCAUGCAUGUUUAGUCCCAGCUACACAGCAGGGAGGCUGAGGCUGAAGGAAUACUUGAGCCCAGGAAUUCAAGACUAGCCUGCACAACAUAGUGAGACCCUGACUUUAAAAUAAAUUUAAAAAAAUUAAAAGCAACAAGACUUUCUGCUUGUAUAUGAUGAUGUUAGUAUGCUGACUUACAAGGUUAGAUCAUUUUGAUAUGUGUGAUGUAGGUUUUCAAAGCUGGCACUGUUUUAUGCUUCAAAUAUUAUUUUUAUUCAUUGGUUCUCAUGGGAUUUCAUCACUAAGCUGUAAAUCAAUAAUCAUAAUGUUGAGGGGAGGGGAUUACAAAAUAGCUCUUCAAAAUCAUCUUUGCAUUUCUCAAUAAACAGCAUUCCCUUUUGGACUACAGUGAAAAAUAUUGAGCUUUGUUUACUUUGAAAAUGAGUCUUAGUCUAUGAAUGCCUGGGUAGGGUCAAGAAUGAAAAAUGAGAGGAAGAGAGAAGCAUCAGGAAGAUAAAAUGAUCAAUCUCACAAAACUUGCUAUUUUUAGAAAGCAUCAUUCUAAUUUUGAAACCAAAAAAAUGGGGAAAAACAGAGUAAUGGAAUAAUAGAAUGCCUCAUGUACAAAAGCAACAAUUUCAGAGAUGAUCUAAAACAACUUAUUAGUUAUAGGAAGAAAUAUACCUGAAAAGGGCAAAAAUAAGUUGGGUUUGGCCUCUUGUCACUGAAAUUAUCUACUAAAUCUAACAGCAUCUAUGUUCCUUUAGCUGUUGUGUAUAUUGUACACAAAUGUGA
rnacentral:lncRNA from 10 species